UACGGAGGGUGCAAGCGUUAUCCGGAUUCACUGGGCUUAAAGGGUGUGUAGGCGGACUUUUAAGUCCGUGGUGAAAUCUCCGGGCUCAACCCGGAAACUGCCAUGGAUACUAUAGGUCUUGAAUAUUGUUGAGGUGGGCGGAACGGGUCAUGUAGCGGUGAAAUGCAUAGAUAUGACCCGGAACACCGAUUGCGAAGGCAGCCCACUAAGCAAUGAUUGACGCUGAGGCACGAAAGCGUGGGGAUCAAACAGG
rnacentral:rRNA from 1 species